rnacentral:rRNA from 2 species
GGGUUGUGAGGUUAAGCGACUAAGCGUACACGGUGGAUGCCCUGGCAGUCAGAGGCGAUGAAGGGCGUGCUAAUCUGCGAUAAGCGCCGGUAAGGUGAUAUGAACCGUUAUAACCGGCGAUACCCGAAUGGGGAAACCCAGUGUGACUCGUCACACUAUCAUUAACUGAAUCCAUAGGUUAAUGAGGCGAACCGGGGGAACUGAAACAUCUAAGUACCCCGAGGAAAAGAAAUCAACCGAGAUUCCCCCAGUAGCGGCGAGCGAACGGGGAGGAGCCCAGAGCCUGAAUCAGCAUGUGUGUUAGUGGAAGCGUCUGGAAAGGCGCGCGAUACAGGGUGACAGCCCCGUACACAAAAGCGCAUGUGCUGUGAGCUCGAUGAGUAGGGCGGGACACGUGGUAUCCUGUCUGAAUAUGGGGGGACCAUCCUCCAAGGCUAAAUACUCCUGACUGACCGAUAGUGAACCAGUACCGUGAGGGAAAGGCGAAAAGAACCCCGGCGAGGGGAGUGAAAAAGAACCUGAAACCGUGUACGUACAAGCAGUGGGAGCACCCUUUUGGGUGUGACUGCGUACCUUUUGUAUAAUGGGUCAGCGACUUAUAUUCUGUAGCAAGGUUAACCGUAUAGGGGAGCCGUAGGGAAACCGAGUCUUAACCGGGCGUUAAGUUGCAGGGUAUAGACCCGAAACCCGGUGAUCUAGCCAUGGGCAGGUUGAAGGUUGGGUAACACUAACUGGAGGACCGAACCGACUAAUGUUGAAAAAUUAGCGGAUGACCUGUGGCUGGGGGUGAAAGGCCAAUCAAACCGGGAGAUAGCUGGUUCUCCCCGAAAGCUAUUUAGGUAGCGCCUCGUGAAUUCAUCUCCGGGGGUAGAGCACUGUUUCGGCUAGGGGGCCAUCCCGGCUUACCAACCCGAUGCAAACUGCGAAUACCGGAGAAUGUUAUCACGGGAGACACACGGCGGGUGCUAACGUCCGUCGUGAAGAGGGAAACAACCCAGACCGCCAGCUAAGGUCCCAAAGUCAUGGUUAAGUGGGAAACGAUGUGGGAAGGCCCAGACAGCCAGGAUGUUGGCUUAGAAGCAGCCAUCAUUUAAAGAAAGCGUAAUAGCUCACUGGUCGAGUCGGCCUGCGCGGAAGAUGUAACGGGGCUAAACCAUGCACCGAAGCUGCGGCAGCGACGCUGAUGCGUUGUUGGGUAGGGGAGCGUUCUGUAAGCCUGCGAAGGUGGCCUGUGAGGGUUGCUGGAGGUAUCAGAAGUGCGAAUGCUGACAUAAGUAACGAUAAAGCGGGUGAAAAGCCCGCUCGCCGGAAGACCAAGGGUUCCUGUCCAACGUUAAUCGGGGCAGGGUGAGUCGACCCCUAAGGCGAGGCCGAAAGGCGUAGUCGAUGGGAAACGGGUUAAUAUUCCCGUACUUGGUGUUACUGCGAAGGGGGGACGGAGAAGGCUAUGUUGGCCGGGCGACGGUUGUCCCGGUUUAAGCGUGUAGGCUGGUUUUCCAGGCAAAUCCGGAAAAUCAAGGCUGAGGCGUGACGACGAGGCACUACGGUGCUGAAGCAACAAAUGCCCUGCUUCCAGGAAAAGCCUCUAAGCAUCAGGUAACAUCAAAUCGUACCCCAAACCGACACAGGUGGUCAGGUAGAGAAUACCAAGGCGCUUGAGAGAACUCGGGUGAAGGAACUAGGCAAAAUGGUGCCGUAACUUCGGGAGAAGGCACGCUGACACGUAGGUGAAGUGAUUUACUCACGGAGCUGAAGUCAGUCGAAGAUACCAGCUGGCUGCAACUGUUUAUUAAAAACACAGCACUGUGCAAACACGAAAGUGGACGUAUACGGUGUGACGCCUGCCCGGUGCCGGAAGGUUAAUUGAUGGGGUCAGCGCAAGCGAAGCUCCUGAUCGAAGCCCCGGUAAACGGCGGCCGUAACUAUAACGGUCCUAAGGUAGCGAAAUUCCUUGUCGGGUAAGUUCCGACCUGCACGAAUGGCGUAAUGAUGGCCAGGCUGUCUCCACCCGAGACUCAGUGAAAUUGAACUCGCUGUGAAGAUGCAGUGUACCCGCGGCAAGACGGAAAGACCCCGUGAACCUUUACUAUAGCUUGACACUGAACAUUGAGCCUUGAUGUGUAGGAUAGGUGGGAGGCUUUGAAGCGUGGACGCCAGUCUGCGUGGAGCCAACCUUGAAAUACCACCCUUUAAUGUUUGAUGUUCUAACGUGGACCCGUAAUCCGGGUUGCGGACAGUGUCUGGUGGGUAGUUUGACUGGGGCGGUCUCCUCCUAAAGAGUAACGGAGGAGCACGAAGGUUGGCUAAUCCUGGUCGGACAUCAGGAGGUUAGUGCAAUGGCAUAAGCCAGCUUGACUGCGAGCGUGACGGCGCGAGCAGGUGCGAAAGCAGGUCAUAGUGAUCCGGUGGUUCUGAAUGGAAGGGCCAUCGCUCAACGGAUAAAAGGUACUCCGGGGAUAACAGGCUGAUACCGCCCAAGAGUUCAUAUCGACGGCGGUGUUUGGCACCUCGAUGUCGGCUCAUCACAUCCUGGGGCUGAAGUAGGUCCCAAGGGUAUGGCUGUUCGCCAUUUAAAGUGGUACGCGAGCUGGGUUUAGAACGUCGUGAGACAGUUCGGUCCCUAUCUGCCGUGGGCGCUGGAGAACUGAGGGGGGCUGCUCCUAGUACGAGAGGACCGGAGUGGACGCAUCACUGGUGUUCGGGUUGUCAUGCCAAUGGCACUGCCCGGUAGCUAAAUGCGGAAGAGAUAAGUGCUGAAAGCAUCUAAGCACGAAACUUGCCCCGAGAUGAGUUCUCCCUGAGACUUAGAGUCUCCUGAAGGAACGUUGAAGACGACGACGUUGAUAGGCCGGGUGUGUAAGCGCAGCGAUGCGUUGAGCUAACCGGUACUAAUGAACCGUGAGGCUUAACCUUACAACGCCGAAG